GCUGGCAGAGUUCUGUUUUGAGAUUUUGAGUGCGAAAGUUGCAACAAACCUGUGGCUUUGAUCAGAAACGUCCUUAAGUUGGAAUAUAUGUGACCAGUCAUGACUUAUUAUAGUGGGGGAGAUAGUUCCACACAAACAGGACCUGUAUAAAUCAGAAAAAACAAACUGGAGCUCCUGAAAAGUGCAGAUGCUGUUGCAUUAACUGGGGAUCACUGGACACCAGCAAGUCAUCAAAGAGUGUCACAGUAAGGGCCUUUUAUGGAGUGGGUGUAGAUGUGGACUAUGUUAUGCAACAAAUGAAUCAUUGGCCUUCAUUCAUCAUCCAUCCGGUCCCAGCGAGUCAUCAGCAACCACAGGCACCAGUAUCUGAACUCCAUGGGGGAUCAGUCUGCUGCAGCUCAGAUCAGAAAUCCUCCCAUCACAGAAUCUCUCACAGGAGUAUGCCUUAUGUAAAGUCACAUUAUUUCAAUAUUCCUUGUAAUAAAUAAUAUUCCAUUAUGUAA